rnacentral:misc_RNA from 1 species
GAUGAAGAACGCAGCGAAGUGUGAUAAGUAAUGUGAAUUGCAGAAUUCCGUGAAUCAUCGAAUCUUUGAACGCAAAUUGCACUCUCUGGUAUCCCGGGGAGUAUGCCUGUUUGAGGGUCAGUGUUAAUAAAAAUCGGUGCGUUGCACUUUAUUGUGACGUUCUGGAGUUUGAGUUAUCUUAACUUUUAGGUUAAGAGGCUUAAAAUUGACCUUUUUUUUGUGCAUUUUAGACGUACAUAAAUUUUCUUUUAUUUGUCUUUUAAUGCCAAAAUUAUAUUAGAUGCGACCAUAUCGUGUGGUUUCGUGUCUAUAAAUUUUUCAUGAUUUGACCUCAAAUCAGGUAGGAGUACCCGCUGAACUUAAGCAUAUCAAUAAGCGGAGGA